ensembl:snoRNA SNORA63 Small nucleolar RNA SNORA63
ACGCAGGAUAAGUUACAGUGCAGCUUGUUAAGUGCUGCUCUGUCGUUCCCCCUGCCCAUAUCAACUAGAUUCCUACUAUCCCUGUCUGUCUGCAUCCUACGGCUGACGGGGACGCUUGGUCUCGGACAC